CACGUAGGGGGCAAGCGUUGUCCGGAAUCAUUGGGCGUAAAGAGCUCGUAGGCGGCUCAGUAAGUCGGGUGUGAAACCCUCAGGCUCAACCUGGGGACGCCACCCGAUACUGCUGUGGCUAGAGUCCAGUAGGGGAGUGUGGAAUUCCCGGUGUAGCGGUGAAAUGCGCAGAUAUCAGGAAGAACACCCGUGGCGAAGGCGGCUCUCUGGGACGGUACUGACGCUGAGACGCGAAAGCGUGGGGAGCGAACAGG
rnacentral:rRNA from 1 species